UCCUGUGUGGCUCAGUUGGUAGAGCAUGGUGCUUGCAAUGCCAGGGUUGUGGGUUCGAUUUCCAUGGGAG
rnacentral:tRNA from 1 species